CAGCUUGGCACCUUCCCCUGGCGGUGCUGGGAGCCUGUACCUCGCUGGGAUCCCGUGCAGGAUCUGUCCCCGGGCGAUCCAAGCCCCAAAACUGCAAAUCCGAAGGCAGCGAGCACCGCUUGCAUCAGCUUUUUUCCCUACCACUUGUGGGCAAACUCCAUCCCCGAGUCGGCCAGCGGAGGGGAGCCCGAGGGCGAGGAGGAGGACGGCGAUGAAGACGACGAAGCUGAGGGAGCCACAGGCAAACGGGCAGCUGAGGACGACGAGGUAGGCAGAGCAGCCCCGCCGAGCCCCCUGCGUCCCGAGCGGGUUUUGGGGCGGCAUCGGCGGGGUCGGAGACGCCCAGGCUGGGUGCCGGGAUCCGGAUCCUGCCCGAGCGCUUCCUGCUGUGUGCCCCUGGGGGAUGCGGCCCAGUUCCAUUUAUACGCUGGCCUGGUUAGCCAGGUGCUUGCUGUGGUGGCGUGGAGCCCUGCUCAUCCUGGGUUUGGGGCCCCAGCGCUGUGGCGUGGGACUGGGCAGGGGCGCUCCGGCCCCCGAGCCAGCUGCGAGAAGUUACCUGCCGCGGGGAACGCUUCUGGUGUUCUGCCGUGUCCCUGCAUCAGCAGAGGGACCCGAAAUCCCUCUGCCCGCCCGGGUGUUGCCCCCUCCCCUAACGGCUUCCCUUUCCCCCUCAGGACGACGACGUCGAUCCCAAGAAGCAGAAAACCGACGAAGAUGACUAGGCAGCAAAUUAUUAUUAUUUUUUUUUAAAUAAGGAGGAAAACAAACCAACAAAAAAGGCCAGCGCGUCCUCUUCACCCUUGGGACCCCCCCCCUCCUUCCUCCCCAGCCCGCCCGACGCA
rnacentral:lncRNA from 1 species